GCAAAAAUACCUUACCAAGCUUUUAAAACAUAUGUAGAAGCAGAGGAGGACAUAGAUGCUUUUCUCCAAGAUUUUGAGAGACUGUGUGCACUGCAUAAUGUUAGUCCAGAGGAGUGGGUAACUAUUUUGGCAGGGAAGCUCACUGGAAAGGCUGCUGAAGCAUAUAGAACUGUACCAGAUGAAGAAAUUCGGAAUUACCACAGGGUAAAAGAG